rnacentral:rRNA from 1 species
GAUGAACGCUGGCGGCGUGCCUAACACAUGCAAGUCGAACGGAACUUCUUCGACAGAAUUCUUCGGAAGGAAGUUGAUUAAGUUUAGUGGCGGACGGGUGAGUAACGCGUGAGUAACCUGCCUUUGAGAGGGGAAUAACUUCCCGAAAGGGAUGCUAAUACCGCAUGAUGCAUAGAAGUCGCAUGGCUUUAUGCCAAAGAUUUAUCGCUCAAAGAUGGACUCGCGUCCGAUUAGCCAGUUGGCGGGGUAACGGCCCACCAAAGCGACGAUCGGUAGCCGGACUGAGAGGUUGAACGGCCACAUUGGGACUGAGACACGGCCCAGACUCCUACGGGAGGCAGCAGUGGGGGAUAUUGCGCAAUGGGGAAACCCGUGACGCAGCAACGCCGCGUGAAGGAUGAAGGUUUUCGGAUUGUAAACUCUUUAUUUAGGUACGAAGAAUGACGGUACUAAAUGAAUAAGCUCCGGCUAACUACGUG